rnacentral:lncRNA from 1 species
UCUCAAGGUGAGCUUCAGUCUUCUGUUGGCUCAGUGGCUCGGUCAGUGGGUUAGCCACAUUCUCUAUAAAGUCAAUUUUUUGCAUCUCGAUGAACUUCUUCUCGAGAUAUUCAUAAAUCAGAUAAAAUCAUUACUCGAUGUGCUUGGACUUCUAGUGAGACCUCGAUUUCUUAGCGAGUGCUAUGGUACCAUAAUUAUUGCAGA